UACAUACUUGCCUAGUGGUUUAAGGCACUUGACUCAUAAUCAAGCAACCCCCGAUAAGGGUUCGCGGGUUCAAAUCCCGCGUAUG
rnacentral:tRNA from 2 species